rnacentral:rRNA from 1 species
AAUGCGAUAAGUAAUGUGAAUUGCAGAAUUCAGUGAAUCAUCGAAUCUUUGAACGCACCUUGCNCCCCUUGGUAUUCCGAGGGGCACGCCUGUUCGAGUGUCGUGA